UUUUCGUCAUUACAAACCUACCCUCGUAAGAGGGUAGCGGUCUUUGGACCAAAACUUAAAACAAACAUAAAAAAACUAAAAUUUUCAACGGUGGAUAUCUAGGUUCCCACAACG
rnacentral:rRNA from 1 species